AGACGCUCUCCUCCUCUCUCUUUUCCCGUUCGAAGGUUUAUCCAAUUUUAAUCGGAGAUUCGCUCAUGAAAUUUAGGUUUUAUGUCAAUGGCUGAGACGAGAAGAUACCUUCCCAAUCAACCACUUGAAUUUGGAGGAAGCAAAACACCGUUGGCUUCGGCCAAAUGAAAUAUUAGAAAUACUUCGUAACUACCAGAGGUUUAAGUUGACUCCAGAGCCACCCA
rnacentral:misc_RNA from 1 species